rnacentral:rRNA from 1 species
AUUGAACGCUGGCGGCAGGCUUAACACAUGCAAGUCGAGCGGAGUGAUGGUGCUUGCACUAUCACUUAGCGGCGGACGGGUGAGUAAUGCUUAGGAAUCUGCCUAUUAGUGGGGGACAACAUCUCGAAAGGGAUGCUAAUACCGCAUACGUCCUACGGGAGAAAGCAGGGGAUCACUUGUGACCUUGCGCUAAUAGAUGAGCCUAAGUCGGAUUAGCUAGUUGGUGGGGUAAAGGCCUACCAAGGCGACGAUCUGUAGCGGGUGUGAGAGGAUGAUCCGCCACCGUGGGACUGAGACACGGCCCAGACUCCUACGGGAGGCAGCAGUGGGGAAUAUUGGACAGUGGGCGGAACCCUGAUCCAGCCAUGCCGCGUGUGUGAAGAAGGCCUUAUGGUUGUAAAGCACUUUAAGCGAGGAGGAGGCUCUUUUGGUUAAUACCCAAGAUGAGUGGACGUUACUCGCAGAAUAAGCACCGGCUAACUCUGUGCCAGCAGCCGCCGUAA